rnacentral:tRNA from 1 species
GCUGGGGUGGCGAAAUUGGUAGACGCGCCUGCCUUAGGAGCAGGUGGGGCAACCCUUGGAGGUUCGAGUCCUCUCCCCAGCACCA